rnacentral:rRNA from 1 species
AGGGUUCGAUUCUGGCUCAGGAUGAACGCUAGCUACAGGCUUAACACAUGCAAGUCGAGGGGCAGCAUUGGAGUAGCAAUACUCAGAUGGCGACCGGCGCACGGGUGAGUAACACGUAUCCAACCUGCCGCUUACUCGGGGAUAGCCUUUCGAAAGAAAGAUUAAUACCCGAUGGUAUAAAGAGUUCGCAUGUUCUCUUUAUUAAAGAAUUUCGGUAAGCGAUGGGGAUGCGUUCCAUUAGAUAGUUGGCGGGGUAACGGCCCACCAAGUCUACGAUGGAUAGGGGUUCUGAGAGGAAGGUCCCCCACAUUGGAACUGAGACACGGUCCAAACCCCUACGGGAGGCAGCAAGUGAGGAAUAUUGGUCAAUGGACGAGAGUCUGAACCAGCCAAAGUAGCGUGAAGGAUGACUGCCCUAUGGGUUGUAAACUUCUUUUAUAAGGGAAUAAAGUGAGGGACGUGUCCCUUUUUGUAUGUACCUUAUGAAUAAGGAUCGGCUAACUCCGUGCCAGCCGCCGC